rnacentral:rRNA from 1 species
UACGGGGGGAGCAAGCGUUGUUCGGAUUUACUGGCGUAAAGGGCGCGUAGGCGGCCACCGCAAGUCGACUGUGAAAUCUCCGGGCUUAACCCGGAAAUGGCAUUAGAAACUGUGGGGCUAGAGGCUUGGAGGGGGAACUGGAAUGCUCGGUGUAGCAGUGAAAUGCGUAGAGAUCGAGCGGAACACCAGUGGCGAAGGCGAGUUCCUGGACAAGUCCUGACACUGAGGCACGAAAGCUAGGGGAGCAAACAGGA